UACGAGGGGGGCGAGCGUUGUUCGGAAUUAUUGGGCGUAAAGAGCUUGUAGGCGGUUUGUCGCGUCUGCUGUGAAAUUUCGGGGCUCAACCCCGAACUUGCAGUGGGUACGGGCAGACUAGAGUGUGGUAGGGGAGACUGGAAUUCCUGGUGUAGCGGUGAAAUGCGCAGAUAUCAGGAGGAACACCGAUGGCGAAGGCAGGUCUCUGGGCCACUACUGACGCUGAGAAGCGAAAGCAUGGGGAGCGAACAGG
rnacentral:rRNA from 1 species